rnacentral:rRNA from 1 species
AGUUUGAUCCUGGCUCAGAUUGAACGCUGGCGGGAUGCUUUACACAUGCAAGUCGAACGGCAGCACGGACUUCGGUCUGGUGGCGAGUGGCGAACGGGUGAGUAAUGUAUCGGAACGUGCCUAGUAGCGGGGGAUAACUACGCGAAAGCGUAGCUAAUACCACAUACGCCCUUCGGGGGAAAGCAGGGGACCUUCGGGCCUCCUUACUAAUGAAACGGCCGAUAUCGGAUUAGCUAGUUGGUGGGGUAACGGCUCGCAAGGCGACGAUCCGUAGCUGGUUUGAGAGGACGACCAGCCACACUGGGACUGAGACACAGCCCAGACUCCUACGGGAGGCAGCAGUGGGGAAUUUUUUGGACAAUGGGGAAACCCUGAUCCAGCCAUCCCGCGUGUGCGAUGAGGCCUUCCGGGUUGUAAAGCACUUUUGGCAGAAAGAAACGGCACGGGAUAAUACCCCGUGCAACUGACGGUACCUGCAGAAUAAGCACCGGCUAACUACGUGUAACAGCCGCGGUAAUACGUAGGGUGCAAGCGUUAAUCGGAAUUACUGGGCGUAAAGCGUGCGCAGGCGGUUCGGAAAGAAAGAUGCUUGAAAUCCAGAGCUUAACUUUGGAACUGCAUUUUUAACUACCGAGCUAGAGUGUGUCAGAGGAGGUGGAAUUCCCGCGUGUAGCAGUGAAAUGCGUAGAUAUGCGGAGGAACACCGAUAGCGAAAACAGCCUCCUGGGAUAACACUGACGCUCAUGCACGAAAGCGUGGGGGUGACGCAGAUACCCUGGUAGUCCACGCCUAAACGAUGUCAACUAGCUGUUUGGGGCCUUCGGGCCUUGGUAGCGCAGCUAACGCGUGAAGUUGACCGCCUGGGGAGAGUACGGUCGCAAGAUUAAAACUCAAAGGAAUUGACGGGGACCCGCACAAGCAGUGGAUGAUGUGGAUUAAUUCGAUGCAACGCGAAAAACCUUACCUACCCUUGACAUGUCUGGAAUCCCGAAGAGAUUUGGGAGUGCUCGCAAGAGAACCGGAACACAGGUGCUGCAUGGCUGUCGUCAGCUCGUGUCGUGAGAUGUUGGGUUAAGUCCCGCAACGAGCGCAACCCUUGUCAUUAGUUGCUGAAAGGGCACUCUAAUGAGACUGCCGGUGACAAACCGGAGGAAGGUGGGGAUGACGUCAAGUCCUCAUGGCCCAUAUGGGUAGGGCUUCACACGUCAUACAAUGGUCGGGACAGAGGGUCGCCAACCCGCGAGAAGGAGCCAAUCCCAGAAACCCGAUCGUAGUCCGGAUCGCAGUCUGCAACUCGACUGCGUGAAGUCGGAAUCGCUAGUAAUCGCGGAUCAGCAUGUCGCGGUGAAUACGUUCGGUCUUGCUUCACCACCGUCACACCAUGGGAGUGGGUUUUACCAGAAGUAGUUAGCCUAACCGUAAGGAGGCGAUUACCACGGUAGGAUUCAUGACUGGGGUGAAGUCGUAACAAGGUAG